rnacentral:rRNA from 1 species
CCUACGGGUGGCAGCAGUAGGGAAUAUUGCUCAAUGGGGGAAACCCUGAAGCAGCAACGCCGCGUGAAGGAUGAAGGGUUUCGGAUUGUAAACUCCUUUUGAUAGAGAAGAUAAUGACGGUAGUUAACGAAUAAGCACCGGCUAACUCCGUGCCAGCAGCCGCGGUAAUACGGAGGAGGCAAGCGUUAUCCGGAAUGACUGGUCGUAAAGGGUGGGUAGGGGGUUUGAUUAGUUAGUAGCGAAACUCCGGAGCUCAACUUCGGAACUACUACUAAAACUAUUGAACUUGAGUGCAGGAGGGGCAAUCGGAAUUCCUAGUGUAGCGGUGGAAUGCGUAGAUAUUAGGAAGAACACCAGUGGCGAAGGCGGAUUGCUAGACUGUAACUGACACUGAGGCACGAAAGCGUGGGGAGCAAACAGGAUUAGAUACCCUUGUAGUC